UCCUCCCUCUGGCGGCGUGCCUAAUACAUGCAAGUAGAACGCUGAAGGAGGAGCUUGCUUCUCUGGAUGAGUUGCGAACGGGUGAGUAACGCGUAGGUAACCUGCCUGGUAGCGGGGGAUAACUAUUGGAAACGAUAGCUAAUACCGCAUAAUAGUAGAUGUUGCAUGACAUUUGCUUAAAAGGUGCAAUUGCAUCACUACCAGAUGGACCUGCGUUGUAUUAGCUAGUUGGUGGGGUAACGGCUCACCAAGGCGACGAUACAUAGCCGACCUGAGAGGGUGAUCGGCCACACUGGGACUGAGACACGGCCCAGACUCCUACGGGAGGCAGCAGUAGGGAAUCUUCGGCAAUGGACGGAAGUCUGACCGAGCAACGCCGCGUGAGUGAAGAAGGUUUUCGGAUCGUAAAGCUCUGUUGUAAGAGAAGAACGAGGGUGAGAGUGGAAAGUUCACACUGUGACGGUAUCUUACCAGAAAGGGACGGCUAACUACGUG
rnacentral:rRNA from 1 species